AAAUUUCGGGUUGGUAGAUCUUAAUUCUCCUCCCCCUCGACGCAUAUUGAUUUAGGGUUUCAGGUUUCUGCUUUGAAUCGCGAUAUAGACAUGGCGGGUGCUGGAAUCCACCUUACCACCAGCAGUGGCCGCCGGCACCAGCUCCUCCGCCCCCUACAGCCACAUCAGCUGCCGCUCCUCUUCCUCCGCCUCCUGUCCACCAUCCUCCACCUUCUACUCACGAUGAGGUUCGAACCUUCUUCAUUACUGGUCUUCCUGAAGACGUCAAAGAGAGAGAGUUACAAAAUUUACUAAGAUGGCUUCCGGGUUUGAAGCUUCGCAAGUGAACUACAAGGGUGAAAAACCAAUGGGUUUUGCUCUCUUUUCAACUGCACAACUUGCAGUUGCUGCCAAAGAUGCUCUUCAGGAAUUGUAGCAGAUUCUAAUUCAUAUGAUCAAAGUAAGCGUUUGCGCACUGGUGGCGAUUAUUCACACAGUGCUUAUACAACACCGUCUCCAUUUCACCCUCCUGCCCCUGUCUGGGGACCUCAUGGGUAUUUAGCUCCAACUCCUCCAUAUGAUCCGUAUGGAGGCUAUCCUGUUCCUCCAGUUCCAAUGCCUACCUCUGCUCCUUCACCAGCUCCUAGCAUUAUGUGCCUGUUCAGAAUACCAAGAUAACCCUCCAUGCAAUACUUUAUUUAUUGGCAAUCUUGGAGAGAACAUUAAUGAGGAAGAACUACAGGGCCUAUUUAGCGCUCAACCUGGUUUUAAGCAAAUGAAGAUCUUGAGACAAGAAAGGCAUACCGUUUGCUUUAGAGUUUGAAGAUGUGAAUUCUGCAAGCAAUGUGCACCACAGUUUACAGGGUGCUGUGAUCCCUAGUUCUGGUUCUGUUGGCAUGCGAAUACAAUAUUCCAAGAAUCCCUUUGGCAGAAGGAAGGACUCCAAUCAUUCAGUUGCUUCCCCUAGUGCAAAUGGGACUCCGCCAGCUCUGACUUACCAGUAGAUGAGGGAUAAUCUCUGUUUUCUAUGCUCCAACAAAUACAACUGCUACAUGCUAGGAUGCAUCUUGUAGCUAUGCAUGCACCCAUUUCAUUGUCAACAUCAGCAUUAUCAUCUCUUGUCAUGUGUUUGAAUGCGCAUAGUGAUAUCAUGAAUGCACCAUUUGCUCAUGUUCUAUCAAUUUACCUGAGACAUGCAUGCGUCUGCAGCAUUUGUUAUGCUGGGUUAACUUUAUAGGGUUUCAGAUAACGUUAAUAU